AUUGGACGCUGGCGGCAGGCCUAACACAUGCAAGUCGAGCGGAUGAAGGGAGCUUGCUCCUGGAUUCAGCGGCGGACGGGUGAGUAAUGCCUAGGAAUCUGCCUGGUAGUGGGGGAUAACGUCCGGAAACGGGCGCUAAUACCGCAUACGUCCUGAGGGAGAAAGUGGGGGAUCUUCGGACCUCACGCUAUCAGAUGAGCCUAGGUCGGAUUAGCUAGUUGGUGGGGUAAAGGCCUACCAAGGCGACGAUCCGUAACUGGUCUGAGAGGAUGAUCAGUCACACUGGAACUGAGACACGGUCCAGACUCCUAAGGGAGGCAGCAGUGGGGAAUAUUGGACAAAGGGCGAAAGCCUGAUCCAGCCAUGCCGCGUGUGUGAAGAAGGUCUUCGGAUUGUAAAGCACUUUAAGUUGGGAGGAAGGGCAGUAAGUUAAUACCUUGCUGUUUUGACGUUACCAACAGAAUAAGCACCGGCUAACUUCGUG
rnacentral:rRNA from 1 species